rnacentral:rRNA from 1 species
UACGUAGGGUGCGAGCGUUGUCCGGAAUCACUGGGCGUAAAGAGCUCGUAGGCGGUGUGUCACGUCGGCCGUGAAAACCUGCAGCUUAACUGUGGGCGUGCGGUCGAUACGGGCAUCACUGGAGUUCGGCAGGGGAGACUGGAAUUCCUGGUGUAGCGGUGAAAUGCGCAGAUAUCAGGAGGAACACCGGUGGCGAAGGCGGGUCUCUGGGCCGAUACUGACGCUGAGGAGCGAAAGCGUGGGGAGCAAACAGG